CCUUGAGUAUCACUUCUGUGCUUAGUUCCACUCUGGAUUGUCCACACGAGCAACGUAUCCACCCGCUUUCUCUCUCUUUUCUCUCUUUCUCACUUCUUCUAUAAUAUAUGUCUCUCUCCUUCUGUCCUGCGCUCCAUCUAUCUGUUACAUCUUUUCUUUUUUUUUUUUUCUUUAAGCUUUUUACUUUUCUUAACUCGAUUAUAUCUUGUCAACCUCCUUAUUCUGCUUCCCGUUCUCUUUUCUUCUUCUUCUUCUUCCUUCACAUAUUAAUCUUUUCUGUCAUUCUUUUUUCCCAAGUUUUCUAUUUAUCGUGUGCAUUCUGAAGGAGUGAAAAAAAGGGGAGCAUGGCGCAGCUUAUACAGACAUUACUGGUUCUCUCCGGAUUCCUCUUUGUGUGGCCCCAAGCUGAAGGUAGAGGAAGAGGACCAGGGGGAGGAGGAGGAGGAGGAGGAGGAGGAGGAGAAGGGAAGAAGAAUCACUACCAUCUCCAUCAUCACCACCACCACUUUCACGAGCAGCAGACACUGCCAACUACUGCUUACCUGCUGGAGGAGUUAAUGAAAGGACAAACGGAGAAUGGGGAGAGGGAAAUGAAUCUAGUUGUUCCUCCACUACCCACACCACACGCCACUCUUCCACCUCCCUCUCUACGCCUGAAGCAGUACACCUGGCCGCCCCUAGGAGGAAGAGGAGAAGGAAGUGGAGGAAGAGGAGAAAGAAGUGGAGGAGGAGGAGGAAGUGGAGAUGUCAGUGAGCAUGAUUUCAGUAAUUUAAGAGCUAAGGAGCUGAGAAAAAUGGAAGAGGAGGAGAAGAGGAUGUGGAAAAGGAUGAAGAACAGAAGAAGGAAGUUGAGGAAGAUGAUGAAGGAAGAAAUGAAGAGAAGGAAGAGGCAGAUGAGGCUGACGAGCAAGAGGAAGAGAGGCAGUGACAGAAGACCCAAUAUUAUGCUGAUUGUAGCUGAUGACCUAGGCUACAAUGACGUCCCGUGGCACAACCCUGACAUCCGCGCCCCUGAACUGCUGCGCCUGGCCCGUCAUGGCGUGGUGCUGGAGAACCAUUACGUGCUGCCAGUGUGUUCUCCGUCCAGGGCCGCGCUCCUCACCGGCCGCUACCCUUUCAGAUACGGCAAGCAGGCUUCCUUCACGCCCCUCAGCCCCACCGGCCUCAACACCUCCCUCACGCUCCUGCCUCAACACCUUCAGCGACUUGGUUACAAGACGCACCUCGUCGGCAAAUGGCAUCUCGGUCAUUGUGACUGGGCCUACACACCCACACACCGCGGAUUUGACUCCUUCUACGGCUACUACCUGGGCAGCCAAGGGUACUAUAACAGAUACAAGAAGAUCGGGAUGCCUCCAAUCUCCGCUGGCCACAGGAACGAGGUGCUGGGACGCCACUCCGUUACUACUGGAGAAGGCGCCGACGGGAAUACUGAUUUAGGUGGGAACGGAGGAAGUGGCGACAGUAAUACUCUUGAGGAUGUGUUUUCUGUGGGAGGGCGACGGUGAGGGACUGCUGAAGACGAAGAAGACGGCGCUGAGAGAGGAGCAGCAAUAUAAUGAAGGAGGUUAUGACUUCAGACUGAACGAAACACCGCUGACUAACGUGACGGGAGUAUAUUCCAACGAUCUUUACGCAGCCAGAGUGGAAGAAGUGAUCCGGGAGCAUGUGAGAGGAAGUGAAGGGGCGCCUCUGUUCCUCAUGCUCUCCCUGCAGGCCACCCACGGUCCCCUGGAGGCGCCCCCGUCGAUAUGCGGCAAAAGAAACUCCGUCCCCAAGCACAUCGAAAACCCCUCCAGGAAGAUAUUUCAUGACAUGGUGGCGGCGAUGGACUGUGUAGUGGGACGGAUGGUGAAGCAGCUGCGACGGUCACACCUCUAUCACAACACGAUCAUUGUCUUCACCGCCGACAAUGGAGGCAACUUCCGUGUCGGAGGGAACAACUUUCCUCUGCGGGGAAGCAAAGGGAGUCUGUACGAGGGAGGCACGCGCGGGGUGAGUCUCCUCCACUCCCCUCUCCUCCCCAAUGUGGGCCAUCGCUAUAGAGGGCUGAUGCACGUAGUGGACUGGCGGGAAACUCUGCUGCACGCCGCCAUGGGACCCGCGCACUGGCCCUUACACAGCUCCCCGGACCUGCAGGAGAGAGGGAGGAAGGAGGCAGAGGAGAUGGUGGAGGAGGAGCGUGAAGGGGACGAUGACAGCUUGGACUUGUGGAGUGCGCUGCUCCACAACGGCCCGUCUCCCCGCACCUCCUUCGUGUACAAUCUGAGGAAGGGACCCCUACGAGGCGCCAUCAGGCGGCGUCACUGGAAGCUGGUGGUGGGUCUCGGAGGGCGGUACGACGGGUGGGUGCCGCCUGAGGACGUGGGCACCGUGACGGGCGAGGAGUGCUCCUCCUGGAACACGCCCACCACUCGCCACCUGCUCGCCCACGCCCAUGCAAGUGACAUCAACGAUAUGGUGAUGCUGUUCAAUAUGAGGGACGACCCUCUAGAGACGACUGAUCUCUCAGGCCUGUACCCUGAGGUGGUGGCCACUCUGCGAGCAAAAUUGCGGGAGUACAGCAGACACAGCAAGCACCCACACUCUCCCAAGGACGACCCCAGAGGUCACCCUAGUCUCCACGGGGGCUUCUUCUCCCCGGGGUGGUGCGAGCCGCUAGUGUAAGGCGAGUGUGUUGGGGAUUUGAGGUGUUGGGUGGCACGUAGCGGGGGUUUUCAGGUGUGUACGUGGGAGUAGGUGGGCGUUAGAAUAUGUGUUGAUUCUUCUUCUCAUAAAUAAAUGUGUUUCAUUGCCUUUAACUCUUUGAGCACUUAUUUCAUACUACAGUCACUUGAAUAGUUGAUGAACACUUACCUUCAUACUAGUACAGUCACUUAUUAAGAGUGCUGUUUUUCUUGUUAUUAUUGUUAUUUAUUCCUUUAUAAUCGAUGUACAUUUCCAGAAUACCUUAUAACCUUGAAGAGAGUAUAGAACAUGCAGGGGGAGUUUCGUGACGUUUGAGGUGAAUUGUAUGAAUGUUUGUAGUCGAAAGGUGAGGCAAUACCGGUAGAAGCAGAAAUAGAGGGAGACGGUGUGAUAUGUACGAAUGCUUGGAGUGGAAAGGUAAAAAAGUAGAAAAAAACGAUUAAAUAAUAUGAAUGUUUGAUGUAGUAGAGCGAGAAAGUAGUAGAAGUAGAGGAAAAUGUACGAGUAGAAAGAAAUAGAAAUUGAGGCAAGAAUAAUGUGAAUAUUUGCAGCAGAAGAAAGUUUAAGAAGUAAAAGUAGAUGCAAAUUAAAAGUACAGUAGAAGUUAAGGAUGCUAUGAAGUUCUAGGAAAAAAAUAAAUAGGUGAAGUAGAUAUAGACUGAAGUAGCAUAUAAAGUAAGAGGGUAGGUUAGCUUCGACUAGGUUAGGAUUAGGUUAAGUUAGCUUUAGAUAAGAGAGAAGACGCAGUUUGAGGAUUCCAAUAAUAAUAAUAAUAAUAAUAAAUGUAAAAUAUUU